AGUGAACGCUGGCGGUAGGCCUAACACAUGCAAGUCGAACGGCAGCACAGUAAGAGUUUGCUCUUACGGGUGGCGCGUGGCGGACGGGUGAGGAAUACAUCGGAAUCUACUUUUUCGUGGGGGAUAACGUAGGGAAACUUACGCUAAUACCGCAUACGACCUACGGGUGAAAGCAGGGGAUCUUCGGACCUUGCGCGAUUGAAUGAGCCGAUGUCGGAUUAGCUAGUUGGCGGGGUAAAGGCCCACCAAGGCGACGAUCCGUAGCUGGUCUGAGAGGAUGGUCAGCCACACUGGAACUGAGACACGGUCCAGACUCCUACGGGAGGCAGCAGUGGGGAAUAUUGGACAAUGGGCGCAAGCCUGAUCCAGCCAUACCGCGUGGGUGAAGAAGGCCUUCGGGUUGUAAAGCCCUUUUGUUGGGAAAGAAGAGCAGCAGGUUAAUACCCCGCUGUUCUGACGGUACCCAAAGAAUAAGCACCGGCUAACUUCGUG
rnacentral:rRNA from 1 species